UUAUUCCUUUCCAGAUGUACAACGUAAACGCUCGGAAAACGAGUCGGAAAAGGGAGCGGAGAAUUUCCUAAUGAGGAAAGGAAUCACCUCUGGUGGGCGGAGGAAGCCUGUAUAUGUGUGUGGGGUCUCCCUCAGUGCUUUAGGGAGGAGACUUUGGGGUCUAAAGAGACAGGAGACUCCUCUGGCGUCCGGCCAACUGGGAUUCCCCCUUGCCUUCCGGGGCCGCCGGGUGCCUGGGUUCUGGCCAGCUGGAUUUGGGACACAAGAGUUGACGUACAGAGACAGCGUUUGCAGUCAGUUUGCUAGAGGACCUACACCGGCUCCUCAAGUUCCGCUGCUUCCUCCUCCAAGCUGCUAGUAUUGAAAACACAGGAGUUUGGGGUCAUUCAUCAGGAGGAUUCUGCUCCAGUUUGCCCCCCUCUUGGUCCUAGGCCGCCAAGCAGCCCUAUGGAGAGGCCAAUGUGGAGAGAAACUGAGGCCUUCCACCAAAAGCCAGCACCAACUUGCUAUCCAUGUGAGUGAACCAGCUUGCAGUACAGAGUGGUCAACUCCAGUCAAGCUUUCAGAUAACUACAGCCCUAGUUGACAUCUUGACUACAACUUCAAGAGAGACAUCAAGGCAGAACUGCUUCGCUAAACUGCUCUUGAAUUCUUGACCCACAGAAACUGAGA